UGAAAAUGAAUACGAAACAGCUCUCUUAUCGGCGAUAAAAUGAAUGUUCCAUAAUCAGUCCGCAAUGGAUUAAACCGAUAAGAAAAUUAGAUAAGAUAAACCGCGUCACGCCGUGUAGCCGCCUGUGAAGAUAAAUACGAAAAAUUGAUCAUUGAUUUUAGAAUUAGUUCUUCGCGGUAAGAGGAGAUUAAUAGAGUGCUACUGAUUUCGUCGAGUAGUUAUAUGAAAAACUGAGGGGUCAUACAAAGCUGCUGAGAAUAACAGAAAUAAAAAAUGGAGCGACAGGGAUCGGGAGGUGAAAAUUUCGGCACCAGCGGCGAGAAGAUAUUGCGGGGAAAUAAUUAUUCCGGUGGAUCUGGUAUAAUCUGGGAUAAAUUUCGCGGACGUACCAUGCUCGUUCUGUUGACCCUCUUCGUCGUUUGGGCCGCGGUAUAUUUUACCGUCGGCAGUAACGCCGAAGGUGAAGAAAAUGACGGGCCGCACGCCGGACACGAGCAUCCCCCCGGACACGUUCACGGCUCAUCCGCUAAUUAAUUUUCUUCGUCUCAACGAUCGCCGAAAAUUAUCAGAGCCUUGGAUUUCUGUUGUAAAACGCGAAUAAAUAACGACGUUCGCGAAAUUCACGAAUGAAUGAUCGAGCGGUGAGAAUUGAUUUGAUUUUAUUAUUAAGAUCGAUCGCAGGAAAAAUUGGAAACACUUGAAACACUUGAAACGCGCAAUUAGAACAUCUUACACCUGUUCUCACCGUUCGAUGAUUUUGUAAACCGUGAUAUUUCGACGACGCGAAUCGAGAUGAGAA